ensembl:rRNA 5S_rRNA 5S ribosomal RNA
UGCCACAGCCUUAUGACCCUGCAGCCCAAGACCGGUUACACACUGAAGCUAAGCAGGGUCAGUACCAGGAUGGGAGUACCUGAAUGGUAGACCACAUGGGAAAACUAGGUUGCUGUUGGAA